CACGAAACCGUGUGAGCUAAUUCGAUUUAUAUGUAUGUGGCAUAAUACUCUCUGAAACCGAAUUAGGGGUGAUAGGCCCUCAAAAACGGCAAUAUCUUGAAGUAAAUGAAAAAAAUUAAGUUUGUAGAUGAUUGCAAAGUUACAAGAUUUUGCAAAAUUUUCAAGAUAUGUUACUAUAGAAUGUAGAUUUAAAAGUCUGCUUAAUUCUCAAAGAAAUAUUAAAUUAUUGUAGUUAUUAUACUAGUUUACGGUAGUGCAACUAUUCUCUAAUCAUUAUGUUAAUAUGAGUACUUAGUAAGUAUUGAUAGUGAACUCGGCAAUAAAGCUUUCAACUGUUUAUCAAAAACAUAGCCACACGUUACAUGUGUGGUGUGUUCUGCUCAAUGAUAUUUAAAUAGCCGCAGUACUCUGACUGUGCAAAGGUAGCGUAAUCAUUUGUCUUUUAAUUGGAGUCCUGUAUGAAUGAAUGCAUGGGGGCUUACUUUACCAUAAAUAUAAAUCGAAAUUACUUAAAAGGUGCAAAAACCUUUACAUAAAUAAUAGACGAGAAGACCCUAGAAAUUUGAUUACUAGUUUUGUUGGGGCAACAUGAUAGAUAAACCUAUUAAAUGUAUAUGAAAUAAAUUUGUUUGAUGAAAUUACUCUAGGGAUAACAGCAUAAUUCUGUAUGAGUUUGUGACCUCGAUGUUGGACUAGGGAACUACAGCUUAAAA
rnacentral:rRNA from 1 species